UGGAGACGGUGGGUUUUUGAAAUCGACUCGUCUCCCCCUCUCUCUUCACACCACAGUACCGCCCCUCUCUCAACUACUCUGUACUCAGGUGGUUAACAGAGGAGAAGCAGUCCAAGCCGGAGCUUCAGCCAUCGUUCAGCGUGGAGACGACCGAUCCAACGGCUCUGGAGACCUCAACGACUCUGGAGACGGUGGUUUUUGAAAAUCGCCGUUCAGCUGUCGUUCAGUUGUCGUUAAGUUGUCGUUCAGCCGUCGUUCAGUUGUCUUUUAGCCGUCAUUCAGCCGUCGUUCAGUUGUCGUUCAGCCGCCGUUCAAUGUUAAGCAGAAAACGCCACCGUCAUUCAGCGAAUCAAAUGUCUAUCUCAAGUGUUAAUUGUAGUAAUCCUGAUGUACUUAAGUACAGAUGCAUCAGCUGUCGAUGUAAUCGGAAAGCUACGAUUAGGAUCUCAGAGACUACGGAGAAUUCAAAUAGACUCUUUUACGGGUGCCCAGAGUUUACAUGUAACUACUUCCCUUGGUGUGAUCCUAUAAAUGCACCAACAACGGAGUCUUCGCCUAAAGAAGUCCCAAUAAACAAUCUCGCUCAUGACUUUUGAGAGAUACAAGAAGAGCUGCGGGGGUUGCGAGAGGAGGUGCGGGUGUUACGAGAGGAAGUGCGGGUGUUACGAGAGGAGGUGCGGAGGUUGCGAGAGGAGGUGUGGGUGUAACAAGAGGAGGUGCGGGUGUUGCGAGAGGAGAUGCGAGGGUUGCAAGAGGAGAUGCACAGUGAAAAAAUUAGAAUAGAUGAAGUGGAAAAAUUUGUUCGAUUGGUGAAGGUUGUAGCUAACUUUGUAUUUGUUUUUUUAGUCGGUGUAUUUGUAGCAAUUGUGAUUGGUAGAAGAAUGUGACGAUGUUAUGUAACUGAAAGAGAUGUUAGUAAUGAAAUGGUGUUCUCUUUUUUGGUGUUUCA